CCUACGGGAGGCAGCAGUGGGGAAUUUUGGACAAUGGGCGAAAGCCUGAUCCAGCAAUGCCGCGUGAGUGAAGAAGGCCUUCGGGUUGUAAAGCUCUUUUGUCAGGGAAGAAACGGUGAGGGCUAAUAUCCCUUGCUAAUGACGGUACCUGAAGAAUAAGCACCGGCUAACUACGUGCCAGCAGCCGCGGUAAUACGUAGGGUGCAAGCGUUAAUCGGAAUUACUGGGCGUAAAGCGUGCGCAGGCGGUUUUGUAAGUCUGUCGUGAAAUCCCCGGGCUCAACCUGGGAAUUGCGAUGGAGACUGCAAGGCUAGAAUCUGGCAGAGGGGGGUAGAAUUCCACGUGUAGCAGUGAAAUGCGUAGAGAUGUGGAGGAACACCGAUGGCGAAGGCAGCCCCCUGGGUCAAGAUUGACGCUCAUGCACGAAAGCGUGGGGAGCAAACAGGAUUAGAUACCCUGGUAGUCCACGCCCUAAACGAUGUCUACUAGUUGUCGGGUUUUAAUUAACUUGGUAACGCAGCUAACGCGUGAAGUAGACCGCCUGGGGAGUACGGUGCAAGNUUAAAACUCAAAGGAAUUGACGG
rnacentral:rRNA from 1 species